UCCUUCCUGAGGUUACAGAGAAUGUCUCCCUUGCUGGCUUUAAGAAGUGGGCUGGUACCUUGUGAGUUCCAUGAUGGAAGGGACCAUGUGGCAAGAAACCCACAAGGAAUUAAAUUCUGCCAGCAAGCACGGGAGCUGGAAGCGGAUCAUUCCAGUCAAGUCUCGGAUGUCCAAAUAUGCCUAGUAUCUUCCUUCCUCUGAACUUCAACCUAGGAUUCCCUGUUCAGGCAAUUCAGAAUCCUCUCAGACGUCUUUUUUUAUUUCUGCCAUGAAACUAAAAUAAUGUGUCACUGUGGGCUUUGCUUCAAAGGAAGAUCAGUGAUUCAUGAGCAGAGGAGUGGACGUUAGUGCAUCCUAAUUGUCUUCGGCUGCUGUAGUAAUGUUACAAUACUAUAGUAUAUAAUCACGACCUUCAUAUAUGUUUGGAAUCUAUGUGAAUAUUUAAGCUAUAUCAAUACAUGUUUGGCAGCACAAUUUUUCCAUAGUCCUUGGACUAAACCAUUGGCUCCCCAACUUUAGCCUGCAUGAGGAUCACCUGGAUGGCUUGCUGAAACACCCACCCCCAGUCUCUAAGGCAGUAGGUCAGCUGAGGUGUUGUCAUCAGGUGCCAUGGAGUCCAUUUGGACUCAUAGAGACCUCAUGUGACAGGGUAGAGCUGCCCUGUAUGGUUUUUCCAGGCUGUAAUUUUUACAGGGCCAGACUGCCAGGUCUUUCUCCCAGUGGAUUCAAACAGCUAACCUUUCAGUUAGCAGCUCAGAGCUUAAUCCUUGUGCCACCAAACUAAAACCAUUACCAUCAAGUUGAUUCUGACUCAUAGUGACCCUGUAGGAAACAGAGUAGAACUGCCCCAUAAGGUUUCCAAGGAGCAGCUGGUGUAUUUGAACUGCUGACCUUUUGGUUAGCAGCCUGAGCUCUGAAUCACUGCACCACCAGGACUCACUUGGGCCACCAGGGCUCUGCAGUUCCAGCAAGUUCCCAGCUGAAGCUCGUGCUGUAUUCUCUCUAGCCCACUCUGAGGACCUCUGCACUAAAGCUUUCACCUGAAAAGGUUAAAUGUAAUUCACGUACCAGGAGUACAAGCGGAGGAACCGAAUUUGCUGACAUUCUGCUGGGAGUUGAAAUCUCAGAUGGAUCUGUUAAAAAAAAAAAAUCGUAGAUGGCCACAAAGUGGGCUGUUUUGGAGAGGGGAGGAGGGAUGGCACCUGUGCAUAUUUAAAAUCUUUGGCUUAUUAUCUAUGUAAUAAGCAUACAGAAAUCAUAAACUGAUGCCCAAGUUAAAAUAUCCCUUAACACAUAAAAUGCUGUCCUUUACUAAAAAAACACCAGAAUUUGUUAAUAUCUUUAGCAUUAUACAAGCAUAAUUCUUCUCGUAUAUUCCUUACGGAAUAUUAUUUUGGCCGAAUGUUGUGUUGUGUGUAGAAGGGAUGGUAUUAACUGGGAAAUAUGCCGAUGUAAAAUAUUAAAAUCAUGUGCAUAAAAUUAUGGAAAUUGGAUGGCAACCAAAAUCCAAAAUUAUAUAUUUCGGGGAGUCAGUAUUUCCUUUAAAACGCAGUGAUGAUUUACACAAAUCUAGUAGCUGGUUUGUUUUCUCAUUAACAUGUGUGUUUUUAUUUGAGAAACACACUUGUCACUGUUGCUAAACUCUGAUGAAUCUUGAGAAAUGUUUUCAUUCCCUUCCAUUCCGUCUUGGUUGACUGGGUGCCCGUAAGUGUGUGGGAACGGUGGAUGCUGAUUUCCAAUUGAUGAACUCCGCUUACUGGCUCAGUGACCUAGUCCCUAACUGGCCUCGUUCUUUCGAAUCCUUCCCUAUGUACUUGUCUGUAGUUGUGCUGCACCUUCUGAUGUGUGAGGAAGUAAUGUUCUUUUUCUCUCCUUGUUCUUCUGAAGGGAAAGUAGGAGACAGUAAAUAUGUUGGUGGGGUAGCCAAACAUUAACCAAAGCAAGUGUGUUAAAUCCUAUCAGCUUCAACUGCCUUUUUGUUUUUUUCAUUUUCUAGUUAGCUUUAUAAAAUUAUCUUCCCUGUUGCUUACUCCAGAUCAGACACAACAUUGUAUAAAGAUCUCACCAAGAACAAUAAUGAGAAAAGACCACAAAGUAUGGAAGUAGGAGAAUAAAUCAUGUUUGCAUUGAUUUGUCAGUGUAAUCCAUGUUCCCUUCAUAUUUCAGCUUAAAGUUAAUGUGAUAACCUCAUAAUGAGAAAAAUUUCUGGAAAAAGCAAUUGACAGAGCCUAUCAAUUAGCAAGAAAUCUAACCCGAUAUCAGUGGUCUGGGAGAAAUCCCAUGCCUGCGUUUACAUCAGAUAAAGUGAUGACCUCAGAAAUAGGAUGGGCAUAAAAUGGCAUAUAAGAAGUAAGGAGAGAUAGGAGGAAACAUUUCUUGGAAGAAGUUUUGUUGGAUCUUGCAAUGGUGAGGCUGUGGAAAACGUGCUCUGGGAUUAUCUAAAUUCAGCCAAGGUUAGUCUAGUGCUUGGUUGCCCUACUGGCGACAUGCCAAGCUUCCCAACUUGUGGGUUUGGGCACGCUGCAGUGUCUCAAGUGGUUACAAGUAUACCUCAUAGUGAUUCCUUCAGCCUAGGGUGGCUGGUGGGGCCUGGGGCAGCUGAGCUCAGCAGCCAUCUCCUUUAUUGUUGAGCGGACUCUGCCAUUUAUCUCAAAACCAAACCAGAAACCGGUUGCUGUCAAGUCAAUUCUGACUCAUAGUGACCCUGUAGGACAGAGUAGAGCUGCCCUCUAGGGUUUCCAAGGAGUGGCUGCUGGAUUCAAACUGCUGACUUUUUGGAUACCAGCUGAGCUCUCAACCACUGUGCCACCAGGGCUCCCAUUUAUCCACACCCCUCCCCAAAACCAAACCCACUGCUGUUGAGUCGAUUCCGACUCAUGGCGAGUCUAUAAAGGACAGAGUAAAACUGCCCCAUAGAGUUUCCAAGGAGCUCCUGGUGGAUUUGAACUGCUGACCUCUUGGUUAGCAGCUGCAGCACUUAACUACUAUGCCACCAGGGUUUCUCAUUUAUCCCAAGGUGCCUAAAAUACUACCAUUUUCCAGAGAAUACAACAGAGAGUCCUGGACAGAGCAGGAAAAAAAUAUAUAGAACAAAAUUCAAAUUCAUGUAAAAAGACCAGAUUUAAUGGUCUGACAGAGUCUGGAAGAGCCCCCAAAACUAUGGUCCCCCUAUGCUCUGCUAACCCAGAACUGAAACCAUUCCUGAAGCCCGCUUUCCAGACAAAUAUUAGACAGGACUAUAAAACAAAAAAUUAAUACAUGUGAGGAGCAUGCUUCUUAAUUCAAUCAAAUACACGAGACCAAAUGGGCAGCUCCUGUCCAAAAGCAGGACAAGAAGGCAGGAAGGGACAGGAACUAGACAAACGGACAUGGGGAACCCAGGGUGGAAAGGGGUAGCAUGCUGUCACAUUUUGGGGAUUGCAACCACUGUCACAAAACAAUCUGUGUAUAAAUUUUUGAAUGAGAAAUUAACUUCAGCUGUAAACUUUCACCUAAAGCACAAUAAAAAAAAAAAAAAAAAAACUACCAUUUUCUAGGUCUGGUGUGAAAAAAAGUGGACAAAAUAACCCCAUGCGCCUUCUCUUCUUGAAGUCAAGCCAGUGUACUUCUGCCCUCCACAAGGCCAGUUUCUACUUGCUUGGCUCUGUGUCUGGAAUGCCCACCUCUUCCCAAACCACUAUGCAGAGCGUUUCUUAAAUAAGACACAAAAGUAGUGUUCAUAACGGAGGAGAGUGUUAACUGAAGGAUGUUGUAGCUUAAAACGUUUGUUCAAUGAAAGAAUCUAUGAACAAAGUGAGACUGUUACACCUCAGGCUGGGAAAAAUCUAUGAGAAAAAUGACCUUCCAGUAAAUGAAAUUGCUCAAUUUCAAUUAUUUUCUUCUAGAAUUCUCUGGAGGAGGAAAACCCUGCUGCCUGGUACAAUUCCACUGGUCCGUGGAGUUUUGCUUAGCUUGAGAUUGGUUUUAGUGUAACCCUUAAACCUCAAAUUGUGGGGUUUUGUCAUAUAAAAAGUCCAAGAACGCUGAAAGGAAUUCCUAGUCCCUGCCUGGUACCCUAGGGCAAUGAUUUCAGAACACGACUUGGCUUAAAGCCGACUCAUCCUAUCCUUGGUGCUAUGUGUUUGUCCAUCUUUCCUCACAAUCAACCCAGCACACCCUGUUCUUUGCAUGCCACCACCAUGUUUUCUGUUUAUUUAACCACACCUUUUAACAAGGGCAGGGACCUAUCAUUAAUGUGGGGAGAGUAAGCAGGCACAGGCACAACCUUUCAGGACAGCGAUUUUCCAGUAGGUUCUGUUCUCUGCCUACCUACAGUCACCAUGUCCUCCCACGGAUCUCUGUUCUCCACUUGCCUUUGCCUCUUUUCUCCUAUUCCUUAAAUAGCUGAGCCUUGCUCCUCAUUCCAGGCCUUUGUACUUGCUGUUGCUGCUGUCUGGCUACCUCAUGUUUGUACUUUUAGUUCUCAGUUCAAAUACUACCUCCUAGGUGAAGCUGUCUUGCCCCUCCAGCCUUACUCAAUCCACCACCCUCCACUGAGUUGCCUGGGAGCACGUUCUCCUGUUUUGCAUCCUUCAGAGCCCUUACCACUAUCUCAAAUGAUUCUCUUUUCAAAUAAAUUUUAUCAUCGUAUUAAAAUACUAAUGGCAUAAUAACCAAAACCAAACCCAAACCCAUUGCCGUCAAGUCGAUCCCAUGGUGUAUAGUGACCCAAUAUAGCAGAGUAGAACUGCCCCCGUGGGGUUUCGAAGGAGCAGCUGGUGGAUUCAAACUGCUUACCUUUUGGUUAGCAGCUGAGCUCUUAACCACAAUACCACCAGGGCUCCAAUGGCAUAAUGUUGUUAGGUGCUGUUAAGUCGGUUCCAAAUCACAGCUACCCUAUGUUUUUGCCACCCUCAUGAUCGUUGGUACACUGGAGCGCAUUGUUGCAGCCACUAUGUCAAUCCAUGUCAUAGAUGGUUUUCCUCUUUUUCGAUGACCCUCUUCUUUACCAGGCAUGAUGUACUUCUUCAGAGACUGAUCCCUCCUGAUAACAUGUCCAAAGUAUGCCAGAUGUAGUCUCACCAUGCUUCCUUCUAAGGCGCACUCUGACUGCACUUAUUCCAAGACAGACUUGUUCAUUCUUUUGGCAGCCCACGGUGUAUUCAAUAUUCUUUGCCAAUACCAUAAUUCAAAGGCAUCAAGCAGAUGAAAAGCAAGAUACAAAACUUCACAUAAAAUAUUCAAGGAAAUUUAUUAAUGGUUAUCAAUUUAUGUAGUUACAGAAGGGUAGAGAAAAGGUUGAAAGAAAAUGUAUCAAAGUGACCAUUUUAUCUUUGUGGUGGUAUUCGGGGUGAUUUUUAUCUUUAUUUUUAUAUGCUUCCUGUAUUUCCCAUUUAUUUUGUAAUAAACUAUCAUUAUUAUUAACAGAAAAAAGUAAGUUAUUUUUUAAAGGUUAUUGUGUUUUUGCCUUAUUUGUUUCUAAAAUGAUCUUUUUCAUACAUGUAUAUAUAUAGAAUGGUAUUUAGCAAGCUUAUAAUAAGAGGUUACAUCAUUGAUCAAAAAAAAAAAGAAAAUUGCAAAACAUAAAUGGAAACAAAGAUCUGAUUCAGAUAAUUUUUUUUUAAAAUAAGAGUCUUAAAAGGCACAAUUAUAAUGCCGUAUUUAAUGUUCUGUAAGCAAUUUUGAGUAUAUUAUGGGGAAUAAAAAUUAUAAUUACAUGAAUCAUUAAAACAUUCAGAAGAUAAAUCUUGCCAGUUAUUUUGCUCUCUCUGUUGUUAAAUAUAUCUAGCUUACUGAAGUACAGCUGUCUAUAGUUUCAUAAGCAAAGAAGUAUUUUUUGAAUACAAAUUAACUGAGCAUAAUAAUCACAUUCUAUAAUGGCUGAGAGAAUGAAUAAUAAAUUUAGAAAAAUUACUAGAAAAACCCACAACCUAAAAGGAUAAUAAAAAUCUGUAUGUAGGAUCAUCAAGGUAAGGAAGAGUCAGGAUUCCUAAAAAAUAGUGAUUUCAAAAUUAUGAUUCCUCAACCAGGUGAAAGUUUAAACAUUCUCGUACCUAAA